GAUGAACGCUGGCGGCGUGCCUAAUACAUGCAAGUCGAGCGAACGGACGAGAAGCUUGCUUCUCUGAUGUUAGCGGCGGACGGGUGAGUAACACGUGGAUAACCUACCUAUAAGACUGGGAUAACUUCGGGAAACCGGAGCUAAUACCGGAUAAUAUUUUGAACCGCAUGGUUCAAAAGUGAAAGACGGUCUUGCUGUCACUUAUAGAUGGAUCCGCGCUGCAUUAGCUAGUUGGUAAGGUAACGGCUUACCAAGGCAACGAUGCAUAGCCGACCUGAGAGGGUGAUCGGCCACACUGGAACGGAGACACGGUCCAGACUCCAACGGGAGGCAGCAGUAGGGAAUCUUCCGCAAAGGGCGAAAGCCUGACGGAGCAACGCCGCGUGAGUGAUGAAGGUCUUCGGAUCGUAAAACUCUGUUAUUAGGGAAGAACAUAUGUGUAAGUAACUGUGCACAUCUUGACGGUACCGAAUCAGAAAGCCACGGCUAACUACGUG
rnacentral:rRNA from 1 species